AGCAGCCGCGGUAAUUCCAGCUCCAAUAGCGUAUAUUAAAGUUGUUGCAGUUAAAAAGCUCGUAGUUGAAUUUCGGGAUCAAUAUGUCGGUCGUGCCUCGGUACGUACUGGCAUUAUUGAUUUCUCCCUUCUGAAGAACCUUGAUGUCAUUAAUUUGGUGUCUUGGGGAAUCAGGACCGUUACUUUGAAAAAUUAGAGUGUUUAAAGCAGGCUCACGCUUGAAUACAUUAGCAUGGAAUAAUGAAAUAGGACGUUUGAUUCUAUUUUGUUGGUUUCUAGGAUCGACGUAAUGAUUAAUAGGGAUAGUUGGGGGCAUUAGUAUUCAAUUGUCAGAGGUGAAAUUCUUGGAUUUAUUGAAGACUAACUACUGCGAAAGUAUUUGCCAAGGAUGUUUUCAUUAAUCUAAGAACGAAAG
rnacentral:rRNA from 1 species